AAACGCUACGUCCGCUCCGGCCUACGCAUACGCGUAUUUAAACUUAUAAUUUUUCUUCUAACGUUAGAUCCACUUUAUCAACAAAGGACUUUGCACAAAAUAAUUCAAUAACACCUCCCAAAAUCCUUCUCUUUGUUUUCUUGAUUUCUUAUUCAUCUCUCAACAAUGGAAAAUUCCAAAAAUUCAUCUUCUUCAAUGGAAAAAGUGAAUUUCAGAACAAAAAUCCUUAGCAGACACCUAAAUCAAGAAAACCCAACAUCCAAUUAUUCAAUACUCCAAUCUUUCCCAUGUCUCAGCUACAACCCACCUGAAUUUUCAGAACCAUCUUCUAUUUUUGACACAAAAGAAAUGAGAAAACUUAUGGAUGGUCAUAAUUUGCAAGAAAGAGACUGGCUUUUUGGUCUAAUGUUGCAAAGUAAUCUUUUUAAUCCAAAAAUAAGGGGUGGUAAAGUAUUUGUUCAACCUGACUAUAACCAAUCUAAAGAACAGCAAAGGGAAAUUACUAUGAGGAGAAUUGGCUAUCUUCUGCAAAAUGGUGUUUUUGAAAGUUGGCUAACUGGUAAAGGACCUGAAGAUGAGUUGAUGAAAUUGGCUCUAUUGGAUGUUGUUGGAAUAUUUGAUCAUUCUCUUGCUAUCAAGAUUGGUGUCCAUUUUUUCCUAUGGUAUGUUUAUCUAUUUUUUCUUAGUGAUAAAUUCAAAUAUAUAUACUUAUUAUGUAACUAUAAGUAAAUUUCUUUGAUAAAAAUUAAUUAGAAAUCUAUUGAUAAACAUUAAGAAAUAAGCUAUAGUAACUAAUCAGCUUUCACAUGUUAAAAUUUAGUAAGUAAUAGGGUAAAAAAGUCAUUACACUAGUAUAUAUGACUUAAAAUCUUUUAUAUGAAUUCACAUAUUAUUUUAGAAUAAGAAUAAGAAAAACCUAAAUAUAUUAAAUUGCUAGUAGGGACAAUCUUGAUUGGAUUGGUUGCGUUACAUAACUUAUUACUUACUAUUUCAGGUAAGCAAAAUAUCUUUUCUUUUAUCUUCUAUCAUUAGGUGUUUAGAACCCAUCAUAUAAAUCUAAAGGUUUUAAUGAGAGUCUAGCCAAAAUUUAAAACUUAUGGUCGAGAUUUUAGUCCUUUAAAUUCAAAGCUUAUUGGGUCGAGAUUUUAGUCCUUUAAAUUACGGGAUUUUAAGUUAAGAAUUUAUAAAUAUUCAAUGAAUUUUUAAAGAUAAAUACAAUUGAACAAAACUACUUGGUUCGAUCGAACUUGCCUCUGAAACAGGGGCAGAUUUAGGGGGCGGUGGGGGUUCAUCCUAACCCCUGGUCUAGAAAACUACUAUCUAUAUAUAUGACAAAAUUUGGUUUGUACUUCUAUAUUUAUUUUUUGAAUCGCCUUGAUACAAUCCAAAAGUAUAACUCAGUGGUUAAUGGGGUUUAAAAUCUUUAUAAUAUUGGUUCAAUUUUCAUUGGUCACGGUCUCUUUUUAUUUUUUAUUUUUUUGAUCCCCAUUUACGAAAAUCCUGACUUCGCGGUAUGAAGCUCUAGCUCCCCGCCCUGGUUUUAUUGCUCCCUAUUUAGGAGGUGUUUUGGUAGUAGGUAAACAGAAUAUCAUUCUCAUUUUUGGUUGAUUCAUUCAAUGGUAGGAUAAAGUGAUAAAACCAAUCUUGAAAAAUAUACAAUAGAGAAGAGAUAGAGAUUACAGAAAAUCCUCAUCCGAUUACACAUAUACCAACUAAUGACAGAAACUGUCCGGUAAUGUUCAAUGGGCCCAUCACAUGAGAGAUAUUAUAAGGGUUUUUUCCACUUUUAAUCCGUGCCAUAAAUUCGGUAACCGAAAAAGUGUAUAAAAUUUAUACUCCUUCCGUCUCAUAUUAACAGUCGUGGUUAUUAAAAAUAAUUGUCUCAAAUUAUUUAUCAUUUUAGAAUUUCAAGAUAAAAUUGAUUAUUUUUUUUCUUUUUUACCCAUAAUAAUAAUUAUCCUUGAAGACUACAAACACUUCAAUUGUGGAUAAAUGUGCUCAAAUAUCAAUGAAAAAAGAUUGAAUAUUAAGACAUGAAUAAGGGUAAAGUAGUUAAAAUCCCAACCUAAUUAAUUUUUUUUUAAGGGGCGUGUACAAGAAAAUUAUGACAGAUAAUUUGAGACGGAGGAAAUAUAAUUUUUGUAUAUAACAUACAGAAUGUAUAUAUAUACAAAAAAAAAUAUAUAUUUUUGGCUAUUAUUUUAAGAUGGGGUAUACAGUGUUAUUUUCCCAAAUUAUAAUUUCUUGUUAAAGCCCUUUACAAUCUUUAAAAUAAUUUGAUAUUUACGGUCAUAAAUUAAAAUACUUUCCGAAAAAAGUAGAUACGUCAAAUAUAGGUUACUAAAUUAAACAACUCACUCCAUUAUUUAAUACUCCCUCCCUCCCAUUUUAUGUUUGGAUUUCGAGAAUCAAACGAAUUGUUCUUUGGCCGUAAUUUUUUUCAUGUUAAAUAUUUUGAAUUAUCAAUUUUGUAACUUAUAGUAAUAGUUUGGUCAUGUGAGGAGGAGAAACGCAUACGCCCCAGUGAGGAGGUGUGAGAGGUUGACAUUGGAGGGUUUACAAAGAGGUAAAGGUAGGCCAACGAAGAGGUGGGGAGAGGUGAUUAGGCAAGACAUGACACAACUUCAGCUGACCAAGGACAUGACCCUUGAAAGGAAGGUAUGGAGGUCGAGAAUUAGGGUGAUAGAGUAGGUAGUCUAGAGUGUUCAUAAGAGUAGUAUUGACACGCAGUCUCGCUUUAUGUUGGUAGUAGGUUUUUAUGACUAACCGUUGUUUGCUUUUAUUGUUGAUCACCUUACUAUCUUGUUUUUAUUUUGCUGUUAUAUGGCUUUAUGGUACUGUCUAUCCGUGUCUAUAUCUUCAUUAAUGUGGUGCUUAUGCUUUCCUGAGUCGAGGGUCUAUUGGAAACAACAUCUCUAUCCUCACAAGGUAGGGGUAAGGUCUGCGUAUACACUACCCUCCUCAGAUCCCACAGUGUGAGAUAAUAUUGGUUAUGUUGUUUUUGUAACUUAUAGUAAUAGUACUUUUUUGUGUAGUUAUUAAAUAUAUAAAUUUUAUUUUAAAAAAUUUAAAGAUUUUAUGUUCAAAUAGAAUCAAAGUUAAGAAGUUUGAAUCUUCAAAAACAAAAAUAUCACAUAAAUUGGGUUGGGUGGGACAGAGAAAGUAAAUUGAGUAAGUAAGAUAAACACCUUUUAGAACUUGUGCAAAGGAAAUAGAUCAAUUGGGUCCUAACUUAACACAUCUCAUAACUGACAAUAUCAGAACAAAUGCUAAAAUCUUGUACUUUAUUAGCUUCAAGUACAAAUAUACUACACUACUGUAAGAAUCCAACAUUAAUUUCACUUCCUUAAAAAAUCUCUUUUUCAUCUCAGUUUUCUUGAUUUCCUAUUCAGUUAAUCAUCUAUUCAAAUCUCUCAACAAAAUGAAAAAUUCCCAUUUUUCAUCUUCUUCAAUGGAGAAAGUUAACUUUAGAACAAAAGUCCUUAGCAAACACCUAAUCCAAGAAAAUCCAACACCCAUAAAUUCAACACUUCAAUCUUUCCCAUGUCUCAGCUACAACCCACCUGAAUUUUCAGAGCCAUAUUCUGUUUUUGACAUAAAAGAAAUGAGAUAACUUUUAGAUGGUCAUAAUUUGCAAGAAAUGGACUGGCUUUUUGGUCUAAUGUUGCAAAGUAAUCUUUUUAACACAAAUGUAAGGGGUGGCAAAGUAUUUGUUUUACCUGAUUAUAACCAAUCUAAAGAACAGCAAAGGGAAAUUACUAUGAGGAGAAUUG
rnacentral:lncRNA from 1 species